rnacentral:tRNA from 1 species
GCUCGUGUAGCUCAGUUGGUAGAGCGUUCCGUUCACAUCGGAGAGGUCCCUGGUUCGAGCCCAGGCACGAGCA